CCAAGCUCAGUUGGUAGAGCAGUUGACUUUUAAUCAAUUGGUCGCAGGUUCGAAUCCUGCACGACCCA
rnacentral:tRNA from 1 species